GUUUUAAUAGUUUAAAAAAAACAUUAGUCUUGUAAACUAAAAAUAGAGAUUUCUUUAAAACA
rnacentral:tRNA from 1 species